GGUGCGAUGAUGAGAUUAAACACUUGAAUGUGUUUUUGGGUAGUGGACGUGACCAUUUGGUUUCGCCGUGAGCCCAUUUGUUAAACGACUUCUCCUUCCACUGAGCACU